rnacentral:rRNA from 1 species
GUCAGGAUGUUGGCUUAGAAGCAGCCACCCUUUAAAGAAAGCGUAAUAGCUCACUGAUCGAGUCGUCCUGCGCGGAAGAUGUAACGGGGCUAAGCCAGUCACCGAAGCUGCGGAUAUUUUUCUCUUUGCUUGCAUCGAGAUCAAUAUGGUAGGAGAGCGUUCUGUAAGCCUGCGAAGGUGUCUUGUAAAGGAUGCUGGAGGUAUCAGAAGUGCGAAUGCUGACAUGAGUAGCGAUAAUGCGGGUGAAAAGCCCGCACGCCGUAAGCCCAAGGUUUCCUGUUCAACGUUCAUCGGAGCAGGGUGAGUCGGCCCCUAAGGCGAGGCAGAGAUGCGUAGCUGAUGGGAAGCAGGUUAAUAUUCCUGCACCGUCGUAUGAUGCGAUGGGGGGACGGAUCGCGGAAGGUUGUCUAGCUGUUGGAAUAGCUAGUUUUUGACUCAUAGAAGGUGCUUAGGCAAAUCCGGGCACAUAAUUCAAGGGGUUGAGACGAGUCGCCAUGUGCGACGAAGCAAUCGGAAGUGGUUCCAAGAAAAGCCUCUAAGCUUCAGUCAUACGAGACCGUACCGCAAACCGACACAGGUGGGCGAGAUGAGUAUUCUAAGGCGCUUGAGAGAACUCGGGAGAAGGAACUCGGCACAUUGGUACCGUAACUUCGGGAUAAGGUACGUCCUAGUAGUUUGACCACUUUACUGUGGAAGGAUGAACGGGUUGCAAUAAAAUGG